ACGUAGGGUGCAAGCGUUGUCCGGAAUUAUUGGGCGUAAAGAGCUCGUAGGCGGUUCGUCGCGUCGGCUGUGAAAACCCGAGGCUCAACCUCGGGCCUGCAGUCGCUACGGGCGGACUGGAGUUCGGCAGGGGAGACUGGAAUUCCUGGUGUAGCGGUGAAAUGCGCAGAUAUCAGGAGGAACACCGGUGGCGAAGGCGGGUCUCUGGGCAUUAACUGACGCUGAGGAGCGAAAGCAUGGGGAGCGAACAGGA
rnacentral:rRNA from 1 species